UUCGGUGGCUAUGGCGAGGGGGAUACACCCGUUCCCAUCCCGAACACGGAAGUUAAGCCCCUCAGCGCCGAUGGUACUGCAUAGUCGCUAUGUGGGAGAGUAGGACGCCGCCGGAA
rnacentral:rRNA from 1 species